UACAGGGGGUGCAAACGUUGCUCGGAAUUAUUGGGCGUAAAGCGCACGUAGGCGGUCUGUUAUAUCGGAUGUGAAAGCCCUUGGCUCAACUGAGGAAGUGCAUCCGAAACUGGCAGGCUAGAGUACGUAAGAGGGUCGCGGAAUUCCCGGUGUAGAGGUGAAAUUCGUAGAUAUCGGGAGGAACACCGGUGGCGAAGGCGGCGACCUGGGACGAUACUGACGCUGAGGCGCGAAAGCGUGGGGAGCGAACAGG
rnacentral:rRNA from 1 species